ensembl:lncRNA
AAAAAAUUAAGCAACAGGAAGAUAGUGAACAAUAAAGAAGUCUUCUCACCAACAAAAACGUGUGAAACAGUUCCUCAGAACUUCUGAGCAUCUGUCUUCCAGGCUAUGAUCCUCAGUUUGGCUCGAAUAAGAUUCCCUCUUUUCUUCUGAACCUGAUGGGGGAUGAGGAUUCCAGGCAGUGAGAAACACUGUGCAAAACAUCCUGAAGUGAGAAUUUGAUUGGUGGUUUUGUGGAACAAUGAAGAGGCCCAAGUGUGACUGUUGCCAAAUGUGACUCCCAUACCCCAACAAAUGGAAGAUGUUAACCACUUGAUGACCAGGAGCACACAGGCCCAGGCCUCCUAGUACUUCAGACUGAUAAUGUUAGCCCCUGUGACACCAUCCUGUUACCUCACCUUCAGCCAGUCAGAGAAUUGUGGUUGAGCUGAUCACAUACCCUGCAACCUCCCUCCGUCA